GACGAACGCUGGCGGCGUGCUUAACACAUGCAAGUCGAACGGAAAGGCCCUGCUUUUGUGGGGUGCUCGAGUGGCGAACGGGUGAGUAACACGUGAGUAACCUGCCCUUGACUUUGGGAUAAUUUCAGGAAACUGGGGCUAAUACCGGAUAGGAGCUCCUGCUGCAUGGUGGGGGUUGGAAAGUUUCGGCGGUUGGGGAUGGACUCGCGGCUUAUCAGCUUGUUGGUGGGGUAGUGGCUUACCAAGGCUUUGACGGGUAGCCGGCCUGAGAGGGUGACCGGCCACAUUGGGACUGAGAUACGGCCCAGACUCCUACGGGAGGCAGCAGUGGGGAAUAUUGCACAAUGGGCGGAAGCCUGAUGCAGCAACGCCGCGUGCGGGAUGACGGCCUUCGGGUUGUAAACCGCUUUCGCCUGUGACGAAGCGUGAGUGACGGUAAUGGGUAAAGAAGCACCGGCUAACUACGUGCCAGCAGCCGCGGUGAUACGUAGGGUGCGAGCGUUGUCCGGAUUUAUUGGGCGUAAAGGGCUCGUAGGUGGUUGAUCGCGUCGGAAGUGUAAUCUUGGGGCUUAACCCUGAGCGUGCUUUCGAUACGGGUUGACUUGAGGAAGGUAGGGGAGAAUGGAAUUCCUGGUGGAGCGGUGGAAUGCGCAGAUAUCAGGAGGAACACCAGUGGCGAAGGCGGUUCUCUGGGCCUUUCCUGACGCUGAGGAGCGAAAGCGUGGGGAGCGAACAGGCUUAGAUACCCUGGUAGUCCACGCUGUAAACGGUGGGUACUAGGUGUGGGGUCCAUUCCACGGGUUCCGUGCCGUAGCUAACGCUUUAAGUACCCCGCCUGGGGAGUACGGCCGCAAGGCUAAAACUCAAAGGAAUUGACGGGGCCCCGCACAAGCGGCGGAGCAUGCGGAUUAAUUCGAUGCAACGCGUAGAACCUUACCUGGGUUUGACAUGGAUCGGGAGUGCUCAGAGAUGGGUGUGCCUCUUUUGGGGUCGGUUCACAGGUGGUGCAUGGCUGUCGUCAGCUCGUGUCGUGAGAUGUUGGGUUAAGUCCCGCAACGAGCGCAACCCUUGUUCACUGUUGCCAGCACGUUAUGGUGGGGACUCAGUGGAGACCGCCGGGGUCAACUCGGAGGAAGGUGGGGAUGACGUCAAGUCAUCAUGCCCCUUAUGUCCAGGGCUUCACGCAUGCUACAAUGGCUGGUACAGAGAGUGGCGAGCCUGUGAGGGUGAGCGAAUCUCGGAAAGCCGGUCUCAGUUCGGAUUGGGGUCUGCAACUCGACCUCAUGAAGUCGGAGUCGCUAGUAAUCGCAGAUCAGCAACGCUGCGGUGAAUACGUUCCCGGGGCU
rnacentral:rRNA from 1 species